UUCUUGAAUAUAUAAAUAAGAAGUAAUUCCUGCCCAGUGACACAAGUUCAACGGCCGCGGUAUCCUAACCGUGCAAAGGUAGCAUAAUCACUUGCCCAUUAAUUGUGGGCUAGAAUGAAAGGACCAACGAAAUAAAAACUGUCUCUAUAAGACACAUAAAAAUUAAUCUCUAACUGAAGACCGUUAGAUAUAAUUGAAGGACAAGAAGACCCUAUAGAGCUUUAUUUAAAUAAAGAAUAAAACUUUAAUAAAAUUCGGUUGGGGCGACCAGGGAAAUAAUCUAUCAUCCCUUAAUAAAAGACUAAUAAGUCUCAAUAAUGACCCUCUAAAGAUCAUAAAAACAAGCUACCUUAGGGAUAACAGGCUAAUCUCAUUAGAGAGUCCUUAUCAAUAAUGAGGAUUGGCACCUCGAUGUUGGCUUAGGGAAUCUAUGUGGCGCAAAAGUCACACAAAGAUGGUUUGUUCAACCAAUAACACCCUACAUGAGCUGAGUUCAGACCGGCGUAAGCCAGGUUAGUUUCUAUCCUCAAUAUGAUAUUUUACUUAUAGUACGAAAGGACCUAAGUAUAAGCAAUAAUUGUAAUCCAAAGAAUUAAUAUAAAACAAAUUAACAAAAAAUAACUAUAUAAUAUA
rnacentral:rRNA from 1 species